UACCAGACUCCUACGGGAGGCAGCAGUGAGGAAUAUUGGUCAAUGGUCGGGAGACUGAACCAGCCAAGCCGCGUGAGGGAUGAAGGUACAGAGUAUCGUAAACCUCUUUUGUCAGGGAACAAAGGCGGGGACGUGUCCCCGGAUGAGUGUACCUGAAGAAAAAGCAUCGGCUAACUCCGUGCCAGCAGCCGCGGUAAUACGGAGGAUGCGAGCGUUAUCCGGGUUUAUUGGGGUUAAAGGGUGCGCAGGCGGGCUGUGAUAGGAGCGGGGACAAGCCGCGGGACCCCCCCCCGGCCCGCCGUUGAAACUGGCAGUCUCGAGUUGGAGAGAAGUAUGCGGAAUGCGCGGUGUAGCGGUGAAAUGCAUAGAUAUCGCGCAGAACUCCGAUUGCGAAGGCAGCAUGCCGGCUCCACACUGACGCUGAGGCACGAAAGCGUGGGUAUCGAACAGGAUUAGAUACCCCAGUA
rnacentral:rRNA from 1 species